rnacentral:rRNA from 1 species
UACGGGGGGGGCAAGCGUUGUUCGGAAUCACUGGGCUUAAAGGGUGCGUAGGCGGCCUUCCAGGUCCGGUGUGAAAUCUCACGGCUCAACCGUGAAAUGGCGCUGGAAACCGGAAGGCUUGAGUGUGCUAGGGGUGUGUGGAACUUCCAGUGGAGCGGUGAAAUGUGUUGAUAUUGGAAGGAACGCCGGUGGCGAAAGCGACACACUGGGGCACAACUGACGCUGAGGCACGAAAGCUAGGGUAGCGAACCGG